CUCUCCCUCUUUCUUCCGGCCUAACACAUGCAAGUCGAACGAACUCUUCGGAGUUAGUGGCGGACGGGGGAGUAACACGGGGGAACGUGCGUGUUGGAUCGGAAUAACUCAGGGGGACUUGUUCUAGUACCGAAUGUGCCUUUCGGGGGAAAGAUUUAUCGCCAUUAGAGCGGCCCGCGUCUGAUUAGCUAGUUGGAGAGGUAACGGCCCACCAAGGCGACGAUCAGUAGCUGGGCUGAGAGGAUGACCAUCCACACUGGGACUGAGACACGGCCCAGACUGCUACGAGAGGCAGCGGUGGGGAAUCUUGCGGAAUGGGCGAAAGCCUGACGCAGCCAUGCCGCGUGAAUGAUGAAGGUCUUAGGAUUGUAAAAUUCUUACACCGGGGACGAUAAUGACGGUACCCGGAGAAGAAGCCCCGGCUAACUUCGUG
rnacentral:rRNA from 1 species